GUCGGGCUAUAAUGGCUUUAUUCAGGAUGCUUCAUACAGUGAAAUUGAGAAGAAUCAAGAUUGAUUUUAACAAAAAUUAGAAUGGUUUCUUUUAUAUCUAAUCUGAAGUGUCCAGUAGAGACAUGGUAAGAUCCAUACAAACUGCAAUGGGCAAGCCUUCGAGACCUGCAGACGCCCCAGAAAAUGUAGCUGUCAUAAUGAGAAUCUUUCUUUGUGAUCAGAAAAGCUUCCAAGGAAUAGAUAAUAAUAGAUAAUAACAGCACCAAGGAAUAGAUUGCACCAAAGAGAGCAACCAUGCCUGGCAACAAAUGUUUUCUUUGUCAUUCUUAGUGAGACUACUCAACACCAAGAAAUAGAAAUCAGAAGGGCCACGAGCACACACACAACUAUUUCAUAACCUAGAAAUAAGAAUAUCCUCUUGUACUAUUAUGAAUUAUUGAGUAUGGAAUUACCUACAAACGAUUAAAAAUCUUUAUAUCAUCUAAUAAAAGAUGGCUAAAAGAGCA
rnacentral:lncRNA from 1 species